rnacentral:misc_RNA from 1 species
AAAGUCGUAACAAGGUCUCCGUAGGUGAACCUGCGGAGGGAUCAUUAGCAGAGGGGACUCGCCACGAGAUCACCGAUGCCCGUGCCUUUCCCGUAACGCGCUCCCAUUUCGCAUCCCCCCUCGGCGGGCGAGCCCGCCGGCGGGGACGCUGAACCAAACCCCUCCCCUGCAGUAGUGCCUGUCUGAAGCGAACAGCAAAACUAUCAAAACUUUCAACAACGGAUCUCUUGGCUCUG